AGUCCUGGGGUGUUUACACGUCAAAAUGCAAGUUUGAAGUAGGACCCUUUCGGGUCCCGGGGCUU
rnacentral:tRNA from 1 species